GGUUAAGUUAAUAAGGGCGCACGGUGAAUGCCUUGGCACUAGGAGUCGACGAAGGACGGCACUAACACCGAUAUGCUUCGGGGAGCUGUAAGUGAGCUUUGAU
rnacentral:rRNA from 1 species